GCGUACAAAACCUACCUUGAGCUGGGGGAAAGUCGCUGGAAACGGCGAAUAAUCCCGCAUAAGACCACAACACCGCAUGGUGUAGGGGUUAAAGGCUUCGGUCGGUUUAAGAUGGUUGUGCGUUCCAUUAGCUAGAUGGUAAGGUAACGGCUUACCAUGGCGACGAUGGGUAGGGGGCGUGAGAGCGUGAUCCCCCACACGGGUACUGAGACACGGACCCGACUCCUACGGGAGGCAGCAGUAAGGAAUAUUGGUCAAUGGAGGCAACUCUGAACCAGCCAUGCCGCGUGUGUGAUGAAG
rnacentral:rRNA from 1 species